rnacentral:rRNA from 1 species
CCCUACGGGGGGCAGCAGUAGGGAAUCUUCCACAAUGGGCGAAAGCCUGAUGGAGCAACGCCGCGUGGGUGAAGAAGGUCUUCGGAUCGUAAAACCCUGUUGUUAGAGAAGAAAGUGCGUGAGAGUAACUGUUCACGUUUCGACGGUAUCUAACCAGAAAGCCACGGCUAACUACGUGCCAGCAGCCGCGGUAAUACGUAGGUGGCAAGCGUUAUCCGGAUUUAUUGGGCGUAAAGGGAACGCAGGCGGUCUUUUAAGUCUGAUGGGAAAGCCUUCGGCUUAACCGGCGUAGUGCAUUGGAAACU